rnacentral:rRNA from 1 species
UGGCUCAGAUUGAACGCUGGCGGCAGGCCUAACACAUGCAAGUCGAGCGGUAGAGAGAAGCUUGCUUCUCUUGAGAGCGGCGGACGGGUGAGUAAUGCCUAGGAAUCUGCCUGGUAGUGGGGGAUAACGUUCGGAAACGGACGCUAAUACCGCAUACGUCCUACGGGAGAAAGCAGGGGACCUUCGGGCCUUGCGCUAUCAGAUGAGCCUAGGUCGGAUUAGCUAGUUGGUGAGGUAAUGGCUCACCAAGGCGACGAUCCGUAACUGGUCUGAGAGGAUGAUCAGUCACACUGGAACUGAGACACGGUCCAGACUCCUACGGGAGGCAGCAGUGGGGAAUAUUGGACAAUGGGCGAAAGCCUGAUCCAGCCAUGCCGCGUGUGUGAAGAAGGUCUUCGGAUUGUAAA